ACGCUCGACACCUACUGGAGGCAGCAGUGGGGAAUAUUGCACAAUGGGGGAAACCCUGAUGCAGCGACGCCGCGUGAGCGAAGAAGUAUUUCGGUACGUAAAGCUCUAUCAGCAGGGAAGAAACUGACGGUACCUGACUAAGAAGCACCGGCUAAAUACGUGCCAUCAGCCGCGGUAAUCUGAGCGGGCUGGCAAGGC
rnacentral:rRNA from 1 species